GAUGAACGCUGGCGGCGUGCCUAAUACAUGCAAGUCGAGCGAACGGACGAGAAGCUUGCUUCUCUGAUGUUAGCGGCGGACGGGUGAGUAACACGUGGAUAACCUACCUAUAAGACUGGGAUAACUUCGGGAAACCGGAGCUAAUACCGGAUGAUAUUUUGAACCGCAUGGUUCAAAAGUGAAAGACGGUCUUGCUGUCACUUAUAGAUGGAUCCGCGCUGCAUUAGCUAGUUGGUAAGGUAACGGCUUACCAAGGCAACGAUGCAUAGCCGACCUGAGAGGGUGAUCGGCCACACUGGAGCUGAGACACGGUCCAGACUCCUACGGGAGGCAGCAGUAGGGAAUCUUCCGCAAUGGGCGAAAGCCUGACGGAGCAACGCCGCGUGAGUGAUGAAGGUCUUCGGAUCGUAAAACUCUGUUAUUAGGGAAGAACAUAUGUGUAAGUAACUGUGCACAUCUUGACGGUACCUAAACAGAAAGCCACGGCUAACUACGUG
rnacentral:rRNA from 1 species